rnacentral:rRNA from 1 species
UAANACNAAGGGNAGCUAAGUCGUAAGAACAANCAAACCCCUUAAAGUUAGUCUAAGUUCGGAUUGAGGUCUNCAACUCGACCUCAUGAAGUUGAAAUCGCUAGUAAUCGCGUAUCAUAACGACGCGGUGAAUACGUUCUCGGACCUUGUACACACCGCCCGUCACAUCAUGAGAGCUGUUUGUACCCAAAGUCAUCUUAGCCAACCUGAAGAGGAGGCGGGUGCCUAAGGUAUGUAUGGUGAUUGGGAUGAAGUCGUAACAAGGUAACU